rnacentral:rRNA from 1 species
GACGAACCGAGCGAACGUUGUUCGGAAUCACUGGGCUUAAAGGGCGCGUAGGCGGGCUGCCAAGUUUGGGGUGAAAUCCUCCGGCUCAACCGGGGAAGUGCCUCGAAUACUGGCGGUCUGGAGGGAGGUAGGGGCGUGCGGAACUGUGGGUGGAGCGGUGAAAUGCGUUGAUAUCCACAGGAACUCCGGUGGCGAAGGCGGCACGCUGGACCUUUUCUGACGCUGAGGUGCGAAAGCGUGGGGAGCAAACAGG